GAUUAGCCACACUGGAACUGACNCACGGACCAGACUCCUACGGGAGGCAGCAGUAAGGAAUAUUGGUCAAUGGGCGCAAGCCUGAACCAGCCAUGCCGCGUGCAGGAAGACGGCCCUAUGGGUUGUAAACUGCUUUUGUCAGGGAAUAAACCCCCGCUCGUGAGCGGGGCUGAAGGUACCUGAAGAAUAAGCAUCGGCUAACUCCGUGCCAGCAGCCGCGGUAAUACGGAGGAUGCAAGCGUUAUCCGGAUUCAUUGGGUUUAAAGGGUGCGCAGGCGGAUUGGUAAGUCAGGGGUGAAAUCCCACAGCUCAACUGUGGAACUGCCUUUGAUACUGUCAGUCUAGAGUAUAGUUGAAGUUGGCGGAAUGUGUCAUGUAGCGGUGAAAUGCUUAGAUAUGACACAGAACACCGAUCGCGAAGGCAGCUAGCUAAGCUAUAACUGACGCUCAUGCACGAAAGCGUGGGGAUCAAACAGGAUUAGAUACCCUGGUAGUCCACG
rnacentral:rRNA from 1 species